CCUACGGGGGGCUGCAGUGGGGGAUAUUGCACAAUGGGGGAAACCCUGAUGCAGCGACGCCGCGUGGGUGAAGAAGUAUUUCGGUAUGUAAAGCUCUAUCAGCAGGGAAGAAAAUGACGGUACCUGAUUAAGAAGCCCCGGCUAACUACGUGCCAGCAGCCGCGGUAAUACGUAGGGGGCAAGCGUUAUCCGGAUUUACUGGGUGUAAAGGGGGCGUAGACGGCAGCACAAGUCUGGAGUGAAAUGCCGGGGCUUAACCCCGGAACUGCUUUGGAAACUGUGCAGCUAGAGUGCAGGAGAGGUAAGUGGAAGUCCUAGUGUAGCGGUGAAAUGCGUAGAUAUUAGGAGGAACACCAGUGGCGAAGGCGGCUUACUGGACUGUAACUGACGUUGAGGCUCGAAAGCGUGGGGAGCAAACAGGAUUAGAUACCCGUGUAGUC
rnacentral:rRNA from 1 species